rnacentral:rRNA from 1 species
AGAGCGAACGCUGGCGGCAGGCCUAACACAUGCAAGUCGAGCGCCGUAGCAAUACGGAGCGGCAGACGGGAGAGUAACACGUGGGAACGUACCUUUUGGUUCGGAACAACUGAGGGAAACUUCAGCUAAAUACCGGAUAAGCCCUUACGGGGAAAGAUUUAUCGCCAAAAGAUCGGCCCGCGUCUGAUUAGCUAGUUGGUGAGGUAACGGCUCACCAAGGCGACGAUCAGUAGCUGGUCUGAGAGGAUGAUCAGCCUCACUGGGACUGAGACACGGCCCAGACUCCUACGGGAGGCAGCAGUGGGGAAUAUUGGACAAUGGGCGAAAGCCUGAUCCAGCCAUGCCGCGUGGGUGAUGAAGGCCCUAGGGUUGUAAAGCCCUUUCGGCGGGGAAGAUAAUGACGGUACCCGCAGAAGAAGCCCCGGCUAACUUCGUGCCAGCAGCCGC